rnacentral:ncRNA from 1 species
CCGAUUGUUCCGUCAAUCGUAACCUACCGGUGCAUGCUGGAUUGGUAACGGUCUGGUGUGAAGCCAUCGGAACAAGGUAACCCGUUCAUUGAACGACGUCGCGCUCGCGAGAAAGUGACGUUGUCUGCCAGCGUCGAGGCGGAUGGGGUG